rnacentral:rRNA from 1 species
AUUGAACGCUGGCGGCAGGCCUAACACAUGCAAGUCGAGCGGAGCGGCGGACGGGUGAGUAAUGCCUAGGAAUCUGCCUGGUAGAGGGGGAUAAAGUACGGAAAUGGGCGCUAAUACCGCAUACUAUCAGAUGAGCCUAGGCCGGAUUAGCUAGUUGGUGGGGUAAAGGCCUACCAAGGCGACGAACCGUAACUGGGCUGAGAGGAUGAGCAGCAACACUGGAACUGAGACACGGUCCAGACUCCUACGGGAUGCAGCAGUGGGGAAUAUUGGACACUGGGCGAAAGCCUGAUCCAGCCAUGCCGCGUGUGUGAAGAAGGUCUUCGGAUUGUAAAGCACUUUAAGUUGGGAGGCGUUACCAACAGAAUAAGCACCGGCUAACUUCGUGCCAGCAGCCGCGGUAAUAC